AGUGAGGUAUCCCAUUCCUUCCCCCAUAUGAUGCUUUCUAUGCUGUUCAAUAAAGGGAAUGAAGCCCUUUGUGAGGGACAGACAGACACAGUCACCCAACAACAGACAUACUGACAGAAGAGACAGUCUCACACACAGGGACAAACAGACACAGGGAUAGACAGAUUCACAUGACAGCCUCCAGGCAGGCACAUAUUCAGACGGAUACAGGAGACAGACAAAGGAUGGAAGUGUCCGGGAGCAUGAAGUUGAGAAUUUAAAUCUGGACCCACUUUUGGUUAAAUGACUCCAAGGGGAAGCCCUGCCAUUUCUUUCCUUAAUGCAUAGUUAUUGGGACUCAGAGCUGAUCACUAAUGCGUGUAAUCCAUGCAAACAGCAAUCAGAACCGCAGAUGUAGUUCAGGAGUGCUUCCCUAGUGAAACCCUUGGGUUGGAAUCACAACACUGCAGAAAAUUAGGUCCUGGUGGCUCAGACCUGUGAUCCUAGGGCUCUCGGGGAUGGCAGCAGGGGCAUCAGGUGUUCCUCUCAAUUAUGCAGCAACUUCAGCCUGGGGACAUGAGACCCUAACUCAAAAAAGAAAGGAAGGAGGGAGGAAAGAAGAAAAGAAGGAAGAAAAGAAGGAAGGAAGGAAGCCAGCCAGCCAGCCAGCCAGCCAGCCAGCCAGCCAGCCACAGUUCUGGGACUGCCAUGUGGAUGGCAAGCUCCGCAAGAGACUUGCAAAGAUGAAGGGUGUUGGGGUGCAGAAUCCUGUCAGACUGGAAUUCAGACAACAUGUGUUCUGGUCAUGAAAUCGCAACCUCAUUGGAACAUCGUAUUUGAGGAGAAUUGAAUCUACAUUCCUCGGUCAUGGUUACUCAUAUUUGGCUGCAGAAUAAACCAUGCAUUUUAUUCCUU